ACUUUUGGUGGAGGCACCAAACUCAUCGUUGACUUGGGAGUGGUGCAGCCCACGCUGAGCGUCCUCCCUCCCUCCAGAGUGGAGCUGGAGCAGGGCAGUGCUACACUAGUGUGUGUGGCCAGUGGGGGCUUCCCCUCAGACUGGAAGCUUGGCUGGAAGGUGGGGGGCAGCAGCAGGUCUGGGGGGGUGUCAGAUAGCCUGGGGAUCCUGGGGAAAGAUGGCCACUACAGCUGGAGCAGCACCUUGACCCUCCCUGCAGACCAGUGGAGGAAGGCGGGCUCAGUGAGCUGUGAUGCCAGUAAAAAUGGCCAGACGCAGCCUGUCACUCAAACCCUGAAUCCUGGAGAGUGUUCAGAGUAGAGAGGCUCCAGCAUGGAGGUACUGGAGGAUACAGAUCUCCUCUGACACGUCUGCUUUAUGUGUUUCUGUCUCAGGUGGCAAUGCAGCUUUAGAUGAUUUACAUUAAUAUAACUCGUCUUUGAUUCAUUAACGUUAUGCUUUCCGAUUUUUACCCGUUGCUUGUGUUGGUCACAUGUUGAACAUUAAAUAAAGAUGUAAAGAACACA